GGGUUGUUUAAUAUAAACCUGGUGCAUCACAAGACAUAAACAACGACAGAUGAGGAAGUGAAGCCGGAAGUUUUAACAUGAACAAUAUCAAUAGUGAGCAAACGGAUGUGUGAACAAGUUUGAGAAAAUCAAGGGCUUGGUCACUGGAGUGUUUUGAUAAUGGAGUCCGGUGUUCAGGUGAGGCCAGGUGAGUGUUGAUACAGGUGUUCAGGUGGAGGUGAGGCCAGGUGAGUGUUGGUGUUGAUACAGGUGUUCAGGUGGAGGUGAGGCCAGGUGAGUGUUGAUACAGGUGUUCAGGUGGAGGUGAGGCCAGGUGAGUGUUGAUACAGGUGUUCAGGUGGAGGUGAGGCCAGGUGAGUGUUGGUGUUGAUACAGGUGUUCAGGUGGAGGUGAGGCCAGGUGAGUGUUGGUGUUGAUACAGGUGUUCAGGUGGAGGUGAGGCCAGGUGAGUGUUGGUGUUGAUACAGGUGUUCAGGUGGAGGUGAGGCCAGGUGAGUGUUGGUGUUGAUACAGGUGUUCAGGUGGAGGUGAGGCCAGGUGAGUGUUGGUGUUGAUACAGGUGUUCAGGUGGAGGUGAGGCCAGGUGAGUGUUGAUACAGGUGUUCAGGUGGAGGUGAGGCCAGGUGAGUGUUGAUACAGGUGUUCAGGUGGAGGUGAGGCCAGGUGAGUGUUGGUGUUGAUACAGGUGUUCAGGUGGAGGUGAGGCCAGGUGAGUGUUGGUGUUGAUACAGGUGUUCAGGUGGAGGUGAGGCCAGGUGAGUGUUGGUGUUGAUACAGGUGUUCAGGUGGAGGUGAGGCCAGGUGAGUGUUGAUACAGGUGUUCAGGUGGAGGUGAGGCCAGGUGAGUGUUGGUGUUGAUACAGGUGUUCAGGUGGAGGUGAGGCCAGGUGAGUGUUGAUACAGGUGUUCAGGUGGAGGUGAGGCCAGGUGAGUGUUGAUACAGGUGUUCAGGUGGAGGUGAGGCCAGGUGAGUGUUGGUGUUGAUACAGGUGUGGUCAGGUGGAGGUGAGGCCAGGUGAGUGAUGGUGUUGAUACAGGUGUGUUCAGGUGGAGGUGAGGCCAGGUGAGUGAUGGUGUUGAUACAGGUGUGUUCAGGUGGAGGUGAGGCCAGGUGAGUGAUGGUGUUGAUACAGGUGUGUUCAGGUGUGUUUCCUUCAGGUGUGUUUCCUUCAGGUGUGUUUCUUUCAGGUGUGUUUCCUUCAGGUGUGUUUCCUUCAGGUGUGUUUCCUUCAGGUGUGUUUCCUUCAGGUGUGUUUCCUUCAGGUGUGUUUCUUUCAGGUGUGUUUCCUUCAGGUGUGUUUCCUUCAGGUGUGUUUCCUUCAGGUGUGUUUCCUUCAGGUGUGUUUCCUUCAGGUGUGUUUCCUUCAGGUGUGUUUCUUUCAGGUGUGUUUCCUUCAGGUGUGUUUCCUUCAGGUGUGUUUCCUUCAGGUGUGUUUCCUUCAGGUGUGUUUCCUUCAGGUGUGUUUCCUUCAGGUGUGUUUCUUUCAGGUGUGUUUCCUUCAGGUGUGUUUCCUUCAGGUGUGUUUUCCAGGAGCCAGGUGAUCUCUGUUAGGGAGACCAACUAUUAUCUGGGGAAGUCAUCACCUGCGGAGGAGGUUCUUGAGGAGUGUGUGUGUGUGUGUGUGU